ensembl:snRNA U6 U6 spliceosomal RNA
GUAUUCACUUCAGCAGCACAUAUACUAAAGUGGAACAAUACAGAAGGUUAGCAUGGCCCCUGCAUAAGGAUGACAGGGAAGUUCGAGGAGUGUUCCAUAUUUUU